GAAUCCUUGAUGUUUUCUUGUAGUGCACACCUUGAAACCAAGGGCCAGAUCCUGUAUUUUAUCGAUUAAGUUUCCAUGUCUUGGCUAAUCGCUAGGUUGUAGAAACUUUGUGAUCGCCAUAGCACAGCCGGACACCACCUCCACACUGAAUGACGCUCAUGACAAAGACACAUUGAACUUAACCACACCACAUCUUAUCUCGGUUUGGUCCACUUAGCUUGAGAAAAAAUUAUAUUGUUACAGGUUUCUUGCUCCAUAUAUUGCAUUGUAGCAUUCAUGUUCAAGGAAAUAUUGACUAUGUAUUCCAAAAUAAAUUAAUAAUCGUACGAUUGCUUAUGAUUUUUUUUCUUUUUUGAUAACCGUAGUGUGAUCCCAAAGUUUUUCUAUACCCAAAGACUAAUCACUACGAAGCCCGUAGGAUCCGUGUUUUCUUACCACUUAAAGCGUUCCGAGUGGCCAAGGAGAAUCAAACCCAGGGCGAUACUAACAGGGUGAGCCUUUUACUACUAGGCCAAGACCACUUGGUUGGUUACGAUUGCUUAUGAUAUUGAGUAAAACUAUAUUAAGUCUAAGUUUUGGUUCUGUGUUAGUUUUAUGAAGACGAAAAAAAAACUACUAAUUUAUGCAAAAAAAAACUAUAACUAUUAAUUUGAUGAUUUUUUUUGAAUGAAUGUAAAUUUUAUUCAAUAUAAAACUUUGUUUCAUCAAGUGCUUCUAUUUUUGAUUCUUGUAAAUAAUCAAAGAACCCAUUAAAAAAAAUCAAAUUUUGAGCUUUAAAUUGGAAAAAAAUCUUUCACUUGUGUCCCAAGCCAGGUACACAGCCUUUGUCGAGGUAUCUCUGACCUUUUCCUCAAAGUGAUAUAACAAUUUCGGACAAACCAUUUUGUCCACAAACUUGAUCAGGACCUUCUCAUCUCUUGGUUACUCACCAUGUCGACGAAAUUGCGUUCUCUCCAUAUACUAGGCACCAGAGCUUGAAACCAUAGCGAAUGAGGAAUACCUCCGUUGAGAGCCUGCGCUAAAUAUAACAUCUAAAAUCUCACUCCAUUUUGUUGUGAAUGCAUCUCUUAAGAUUUUCCCUACUAGUUAUUUCCAUACUUUUGCUGAGUAGCGACAUCUAAAGAACAUGUGCUGGCAAGUCUCCUGAUUUUCCUGGCACAACACACAGCAUAUUCGUUUCUUGGCAUCAAAAUAAAAGGAUUAGUUGAGUGAAUUUUUCUAUGUUUUGUGUUAGUGCUAAAAGAAAAACCAUUACGUGCAAAAAACUAUAAAAUGUCGAUUUUCAAAAGGGAUUGUUCAAGAGAUCGAACCCACAGGUAAAAGAGAUCAAUAAAGAAAAAUGUUGGACUAAAGGUUUUGAUUUGGCUGCGCUUGAUAUUUUUGUUGUAUAUAAACAAAUCAAACUUACAGAAAGAGAUAUAAGGAGAUAGUAGCAAAUCCACUACCCAACUUGUGUUAUAGAUUGGUCCAUGAACCUAUUCAUCUUCAACUUUGAGUUGAAUCGCUUGUUUUUACAGCCACAACAAUCAUAUGUAAAUGUGAGUGAAACUUCCAGUGGACCAGAUCGUUCGGUUAUCGCAGGAUAUACAAACAUUAGUUUUCUUUUUCUUUUAAAUGAAACUCAACGAGACCAGAAAAACGAGUCCUCCACCGACGAAGUUGUACACUUGCUAACGGUGAGUGCUCGCUCAGUAAGUGUUUGAUAGAUUUCACAAAACCUUAACCAAGAAACUCAAGUUAAUGGCAGCUACAAUACAUUAUUUUGAAAAAAAAAAUUAUUCUUACCGAAUAGAGUAUGAAUAUAUUUGAACUUGUCAUAGUUUAUGGUCAUUAGACCAACUCCAGCUGUGGGUUGAGCAAGGGGUUUUUUAAACCAAAAAAGAGAAAAAAUUAAAUAAAAAAUGGUUUUAUUAGAAAGAACCGCUGCCUAAUUAAAAGAGUUUAGAGUUGGUUAAAACCCCAAAAGUGGCAGAAACGUAUUGGGUGGUUCCUUUUACGGGAAAUAAAAGUCGCCUCUUUCUCUUUCACUUUCGGUUCAUCUUCGAUGUCAUCGACAUCUCUUCGCCUUCACUUCUGCAAAAAUCUCCGACAGAGAUGAUGUUUGAUCUGUUUGUUCGUCAACAAUCUUGACUCUCUCUUGUUCGAUUUCGUCGAAAUCACAUCAUCGGGUCUCUCUCUUCCUCGUUGAUUCUGUCGAAACCUCGAAUGGAGAUGUCGUUUGAUUCGUUUCUUUCUUCGUCGAUGUUCUCCUCCAGACUCGUGCAUGCAAUCACCAUGAAGAUCGAUGGGGGAAGUUGUGGUAUUAGCAGCGAUGAAGGGACUAUGGAGACGAUGAUGAACAGAGGCUCACGGUUUUGCUUGUCGAAUCCGAUGACUCAACUCACCAAAUUGUCGCCGCCCUUUUUCAAUAGUUCAAUUACAAAGGUUAGCUGCGUGGGAGACAUUAAAGGAGAAGAGACAUACCAGUGAAAUGGACAAAGGUCUUGCAGGGAGCAGCAAGAUACGGAUCAAACGUCAUCAAAGCGGAUUAAACAUGCCAAGAGGUGAAACAGAGAAGACUUGUGACACAAGAGAAGACUCGAGUCUAUAGUUUGCUUACUGGUGUGAUCACUCUUUGUUGUCAUUGGCUAUUGUAUGUGUUUCUCGUGUUGUCUUAGUCUGUGGUCUGAUGCUCUCUUUGUUCUUACUGCAGGUGGGACAUAAGAAGCAAAUUGGACUGUGGUCUGAUACUUCUCGUGUUGUCUUGGACAGUAAACUUGUGACACAAUAAGACAAUAUGUUCCAUGUAAUAAGUUGUUGUAUUUUGUAAGUUGUAUCUCGUGAGUAAUAAGACAAUAUGUUCCAUGUAAACUUGUGACACAAUAAGACAAUAUGUUCUUUAUAAUUUAUUCUUCAAUCUUUAUAAGUUGUAUCUCGUUAUUGCAAUGUGAAACAACAACCACACGAGAGAAAGCAAAAGCAAUUGCAAAGCUUCAUGUUUUAGAGUUUCUUUAUAAAUUGUAGAAACACGAGAGAGAGAUAAACAAAAACAACAACCCUCCAAAUAAACAAAAACAACAACUCGAGAGAGAUCAAGUGCUUGUUUCUUAUUUUUCUCCAAAUAAUCAAAUCUUUUUCACAUUUCUUUCUUAACAUUUUUUUUAAUGGCAUCUUCUUCUUCUAAUAAUUUCGAUGAUGAAAUGGAUGAAAAAUUCGAUCAAAUUUUCGAUCAACAAUUCGAAAAUCUCUUCAUUCAUCAUGAAAAUCGCCAAGAAGCAUCAAGGUCAAAAAAUAAACGAGCCUACAUUGAAAGACAACGAGAACAAGGACACAUGCAGUUAUGGAACAAUUAUUUUAGUGAAGAUGCAACAUAUUCUUCUCACAUGUUUCGACGCCGGUUUCGAAUGAACAAGCCCUUGUUCAUGCGUAUUGUUGAUUGACUCUCCGCUGAAAUCCCAUACUUCCGACAAAGAAGAGAUUCUACUGGCAGGUUCGGUCACUCUCCGUUACAAAAGGCAACGGCAGCAAUUCAUAUGAUGGCAUAUGGUUGCCCAUCUGAUGCGGUCGACGAAUACCUCCGACUUGGUGAGACCACCGCGCCUUUAUGCUUGGAACAUUUUGUUGAAGGAAUCAUAAAUUUAUUUGGAGAUGAGUAUCUAAGAAGACCCACGCCAGAAGAUCUUCAACGACUACUCGAUAUUGGAGAGAUACGCGGAUUUCCCGAGAUGAUAGGAAGCAUUGAUGGUAUGCAUUGGAAGUGGAAGAAUUGUCCGACUACAUGGAAAUGUCAAUAUACACGUGGAUCAGGAAAGCCAACCAUUGUUUUAGAGGUUGUAGCUUCACAAGAUCUCUGGAUAUGGCAUGCGUUUUUCAGACCUCCAGGUACAUUAAACGAUAUUAAUGUUCUUGAUCGAUCACCGGUUUUUGAUGAUAUAUUACAAGGUUGAGCUCCAAAAGUAAAUUACAUUGUCAACGGACACGAGUACCAUUUGGCUUACUAUCUCACAGAUGGUAUCUAUCCAAAAUGGGCUACUUUUGUCCAAUCUAUUCCACUUCCGCAAGGUCCGAAAGUAUCCUUAUUCGCUACACAUCAAGAAGCUGUACGUAAAGAUGUCGAGCGUGCUUUUGGGGUCUUGCAAGCUCGAUUUACCAUAGUCAAAAAUCAAGCUCUUUUGUGGGAUAAAAUAAAAAUUGGCAAGAUAAUGAGAGCAUGUAUCAUUCUACAUAAUAUGAUCGUAGAAGACGAACGAAAUGGGUACACUCAGUUUGAUGUAUCAGUUUUCGCACAACCGGAAUCAAACCGAAGUUCACAAGUGGAUUUCACGUAUUCUACAGCUAUGCCUUCAAAUCUCGGCAAUAUGAUGAGCAUUCGGAAUCGAGUUUAUGAUAAUACAAUACAUCAACAAUUGAAAACUGUUUUGGUUAAGCAUAUAUGACAAAAAUUUGUUACAAAUCAAAAUUUCGACUAAUCGGCUUUUUCUCGUUUACGAUUUGUAUUUGUAUUUUUAAUAUGUUUUAUGUAAUUUUUAUCUAUGCAUUUAUUUUAAAUCAUUCUAAUUAAAAAACAAAAUUUAAAAAAUAUUUAAGAACCCCUAUGGGGUUCUCCCAUUGGAGGAAGAGAAAAUUAUUUUCACUAACCAAGGUUCUUAACUUAUAAAAUCACCUUUAAACCUAAUAAUUUAAUCAUUAGAGCACAUUAGGGGUUCUAAUGGAUGGAGUUGCUCUUAGGAUAAAUUACAGUUAGAUGUGUGCGAAAUAUAGAAGUACUAGGUAAAAAUCUGUGCCAUGCGCGAGAUGUGAUUAUUAGUUUCGUUAUUUUUAAUUAAAAGACAUUAAAUCUGUUUAAUCUGGAUAUUGGUUCAGUUUUAAG